rnacentral:rRNA from 1 species
GAUGAACGCUGGCGGCGUGCCUAAUACAUGCAAGUCGAGCGAACGGACGAGAAGCUUGCUUUUCUGAUGUUAGCGGCGGACGGGUGAGUAACACGUGGAUAACCUACCUAUAAGACUGGGAUAACUUCGGGAAACCGGAGCUAAUACCGGAUAAUAUUUUGAACCGCAUGGUUCAAAAGUGAAAGACGGUCUUGCGGUCACUUAUAGAUGGAUCCGCGCUGCAUUAGCUAGUUGGUAAGGUAACGGCUUACCAAGGCAACGAUGCAUAGCCGACCUGAGAGGGGUGAUCGGCACCACUGGAACUGAGAAACGGUCAAGACUCCAAGGGGAGGAAGCAGUAGGAAACCUUCCGAAAUGGGCGAAAGCCUGACGGAGAAACGCGGGGUGAGUGAUGAAGGUCUUCGGAUCGUAAACCUCUGUUAUUAGGGAAGAAAAAAUGUGUAAGUAACUGUGCACAUCUUAACGGUACCUAAUCAGAAAGCAACGGCUAACUACGU